UCGGUUCUCGCUACUUUAAAGUCUUUCUUGCUGCACAAAAUAAUAGCUCUCUGUUUUCUCUGCAUAAUUCAUUUUCAUUGAAGAACCAACUUUCCACAUGGUAUUAAGAGCUUGAAUCUUGGAUCCAUGGCACUCAUUCUUCCUGCUUCUACAACCAACAACAACAAAUAUACACUCAUUCCCAUUAUAGACAAAUUAGAUGACACCAAUUUUGUGACAUGGAAACAACAAGCUCUCUUCACACUUAAGGGCCAGAAUUUGGAAGAUCACAUUGUUGAAGGGAAAGAACCUCCAAAGCAUGCCUCUGAUGCUGAAAAAGCUGCCAGUACCAUCUCAAGUGUGUACACUGAAUGGAUGCAACAUGAUUCUAAUCUUUGUUCUUGGUUUUUUGCAUCUGUUGAUGGCUCGUUCAAGAACCAAAUUGUACAUUACAAAUCUGCUAUUCAAAUUUGGGACAAACUCCAUCAAAUAUUUGUUGAAACCACCAAAUCAAAAAUCAAGUAAUUAAGAACUCAGCUCAAGAAUGUCAAGAAGAACUCUCUCACCAUCAACCAGUAUCUUGCUACCAUCAAGAAACUUGUUGACUCUCUUACUGCUCUUGGAUAUGAUGUCAUGAAUGAAACACAUAUAGAAGCCAUAUAUGAUGGCCUUCCUGAAGAUUAUUCACACUGCAUUACACUUGUUCAAACAAAACUUGAACUCUUUACUAUUGGAGAAGUUGAAACUCUCCUUAUUUCUCAUGAAGAAACGCUUGAAAAGUUCAAACAACUUUCUAUUGGAUUAGCACAAGCUCAGUUAGCUCAAUCAAAUUUUUCCAAUCCAAGAUUUGCUGGAAGAACCUCUGGAGGACGAAGAGGUGCUCGUGGUGGAAGAUUUUCACGCGGUGGAAGAAAUUCAUGGCAAUCAAUAAAUCGUCUUUAUUGCCAAGUGUGUAAUCGUCCAGGCCAUUCCGCUUUACAUUGCUUCUAUCGAUUUGAUCAAGCAUACAAUGGAUACUCUUCAAAUUCAGCCAAUGCUGGUUCAUCUAAUCCACCGCCUCCUCCUUCCUCCUCCUUUCACCAGCCACAGUCUUACCUCACUUCCACCUCUUCUGCUACUGACACUGCAUGGUACCCUGACACCGGUGCAAGCCAUCACCUCACAUAUGAUUCUGCCAACCUUAUAUCUUCAGCUAAAUAUACUGGGCCUGAUCAACUAUAUAUAGCAAAUUGAUCUGGUCCACAAGCAAACACUUCUUCAAGGAAUUCUUAGACAUGGACUAUAUUCCUUUGAUAAUUUGUGUGUGCCAACACCGUUAUAUGAUCAUAAUUCUGCUCAUGCUUUUUUAGCUUCUUGUAAUCUCAAUCUUGCUUUGUGGCAUAGAAGGCUAGGACAUCCUUCUAACUCUAUUGUAAAAAGUGUCCUUAAACAAUGUAAUAUUCCGAUUAAUCAAAGUUCAGCUACUGAUUCUUUUAUUUGUGAUCAUUGUUGUAUG